rnacentral:rRNA from 1 species
UACGUAGGGUGCAAGCGUUGUCCGGAAUUAUUGGGCGUAAAGAGCUCGUAGGCGGUUUGUCGCGUCUGCUGUGAAAUCUGGAGGCUCAACCUCCAGCCUGCAGUGGGUACGGGCAGACUAGAGUGCGGUAGGGGAGAUUGGAACUCCUGGUGUAGCGGUGGAAUGCGCAGAUAUCAGGAAGAACACCGAUGGCGAAGGCAGACCUCUGGGCCGUAACUGACGCUGAGGAGCGAAAGCAUGGGGAGCGAACAGG